rnacentral:lncRNA from 1 species
GGCCAUGGGGUCUUCCUUUUCCUUUUUCUUAGUUUUAUUCUCAUGCCCUUUUCCCAGCCAACCUCCAACUCCUUGUCAGUUUAUCAUGAUUGCUGAAUGCUGUGUAGAUUCCCUUUUCUGCCCCAAUAAUUUCAAUAGGGGUGUUUUGAUAAUUUUGGGACGUGCUAGGCCACGACUUUAGGCAUUAGGACAACCCCUCGAACACCUAAAUCCGUACCUCUC